UACGUAGGGAGCAAGCGUUGUCCGGAAUCAUUGGGCGUAAAGCGCUCGUAGGUGGCUUCGUAAGUCCGUUGUGAAAGUCAAAGGCUCAACCUUUGAAAGCCGAUGGAUACUGCGGAGCUAGAGUACGGAAGAGGCGAGUGGAAUUCCUGGUGUAGCGGUGGAAUGCGCAGAUAUCGGGAGGAACACCAAUGGCGAAGGCAGCUCGCUGGGACGUGACUGACGCUGAGACGCGAAAGCGUGGGGAGCAAACAGG
rnacentral:rRNA from 1 species